CGGGUGAGUAACACGUGGAUAACCUACCUAUAAGACUGGGAUAACUUCGGGAAACCGGAGCUAAUACCGGAUAAUAUAUUGAACCGCAUGGUUCAAUAGUGAAAGACGGUUUUGCUGUCACUUAUAGAUGGAUCCGCGCUGCAUUAGCUAGUUGGUAAGGUAACGGCUUACCAAGGCAACGAUGCGUAGCCGACCUGAGAGGGUGAUCGGCCGCACUGGAACUGAGACACGGUCCAGACUCCUACGGGAGGCAGCAGAC
rnacentral:rRNA from 1 species